GACGAACGCUGGCGGCGUGCUUAACACAUGCAAGUCGAGCGGUAAGGCCCUUCGGGGUACACGAGCGGCGAACGGGUGAGUAACACGUGAGUAAACUGCCCUCCACCCUGGGAUAAAUUUCGGAAACGGAAGCUAAUACCGGAUACGACCACUAGCAGCAUGGCUCGGCGGUGGAAAGUUCUGGCGGUGGGGGAUGGACGCGCGGCCCAUCAGCAUGUUGGGGAGGUAAUGGCUCACCAAGGCUUCGACGGGUAGCCGGCCUGGGAGGGUGACCGGCCACACUGGGACUGAGACACGGCCCAGACUCCUACGGGAGGCAGCAGUGGGGAAUAUUGGACAAUGGGCGAAAGCCUGAUCCAGCAACGCCGCGUGAGGGAUGACGGCCUUCGGGUUGUAAACCUCUUUCAGCAGGGACGAAGCGCAAGUGACGGUACCUGCAGAAGAAGCACCGGCCAACUACGUGCCAGCAGCCGCAGUAA
rnacentral:rRNA from 1 species